UCUUUCUCCUAGUCCUGACGUCUGUGAGCUAGGGAGGCGGUCUGGGUGGGGUCUGGUGAGGACCCUGCUCCUGGUUUAUUUCUGUUCUCAUUUGUCAGGAAAGGGGUUGGCAGAGAGAAAGCAAGUUCACCAGCAUCUCUUCUUGUAAAGUCCCUCCUCCCAUUACAGGGACCCAUCUUUGUGACUUAACUACCUUCCAAGAACCUCAUCUUCCAACAGCCAUAAUAGGGAUUAUGGCUUCAAUACAUGAAAGGGGGUGUCCUCAGUGGCUGGGUCCUUGGGUGACUGGACUGAAGUCUGGGCAAAGAGCAAGGAGACAGAAUCAGCCUCUACAGCUGGGGAUACGAAAGCAGCUCAGCACUGUGGGAUGUGAGGGUAACUGCCGAGGUUUGCGAGAGCUGAGGCUGGAAGGACCCGUGGCUUCACAUUGCCUGGCACGCCCAUCAGGACGUAGAUUCUGGGGUCCCCUCCAUCCCGAAAGAAUGAAUGCCCAUGGAGGAGACCAUGGAAGUAGUCUUUUGCCAAUGACCAGGGAAUCUGCACGUGCCCUGGUCAGUCUUGUCCCUAGGACCCCAGGUACCCAAGGGGCACAGAGCACCGAGUCUGGUUCCUGCUGAAGAGAUGUUUGAAUGUCCUGCCUAUAAGACCUGCUGCUGGGGCCACCUGCCUCCUUCCUUCACCAUGUGCCUGUCCAAGUACAAGACAGAGAGCUGGGGAAAGACAGGUUUCCAGCUGGGCGAGCUCCCUUAGUCUGUGCAGCAGGGCACAGACAAAUCUCCCCCACCUUGUUUCUGCUUGGCUGGACUCUAGCCUUGUGAGCUGGAAGGACAAUCUUUCUCCUUUCUCUGUCCUAAGUGAAACCCGACUCACACCUGGGCUCCUCAGCCCUGCUGGGUUCAGAGCACCGUGGCGAAGCUGGGGAGGAGGGGAGGCCUGCCUGUCCUUCACCCAAGGUGAAUCUGAGGCUUCUAGGAGGGAGGUCCCUGUAGCUGCUCACGUGGAUGAGGCGCUGUGUGUUUGGCCGGCCCCUCUCACACCCCAUCUAUGCUGUGUGUACGCUAUUCCUUCUCAAAUGCGUCUUCCUACCACUGGCUAACCUCUGCUUGUUCUGAGCCCCCGUUCUCUGAGACACCACUUCGCACACGACACCUCACCUCAGUCAGCUGUUCCAGUCUACACCACCCUGCGCUAGACUGACCUGAAACUAGAACACAAAAGUGGACACACCUGUCCCCUCCUGCUUCAAUUUUGCUGCAAACUCCUCAAGGUCCUAAUCGAUGGUGCUUCAUUCUGUUCCCCAGUCCCUGGCACACCACAGGAGCGCAACAGAUAUCUGGGGAAACAAGCGGAAUCUGGCCUAGGAGAAAGGUGCCCUCUUUGUUUGGGACAGGUCUUGCUAUGCAGCCCCUAGUGGGACUUCCUGUCCAUAUAGCCCAGGCUAGUCUCAAAUCUGUGGCAUUCCCUUUGCUUCGGGUUCCUGAGCAAUGGGUUUAUAACCUACCACACCCACGUGACAAGACGAUUUAACAUAGAAUGUAAAGAAUUUGCUCUUUGCUAUAUUUAGGAUUGGAGGCUUCUCCUCUUCCCCAGACAGAUUAAUGAGUAAACCAAAGGUGACUGCUUCCAUCUUAGAGGGCCAGAGGGAAGGCAGGGCUCCUUUAAAUAUUAAACCUUCAUUGAAACUUACAGAAAUCUGCCUUACAGAUCAUUAACUUCUGCCACAGGAAGGAACCAGGAGCCAGUAGGGGUCUGAGUUCGGAGAAGAACCAAGGCAGACUACCUUGGAACCAGAUAGGUUUGGGUUCAUAAAGUAGCUACACCAGCUGUGUGGCCCAGAGCAAGUCAAUGUCUCUGGACCUCAGAUUUCCACAUUGCCAAAGUGGAGGCACACUGCAUUAUUAAGAGAGCCCAUGAAGUACCUUAGUUUUGAAGGUCCCAGUGGCAGGCAGCAACUGCACUGUGAUGUUGCCUGGCGAAGACAUGAAUGGGCUAAGCUGUUCUCAGGGUUCACCUUGGACACCAGGAAGAAGCUUUACUUUAUGUGUAUGGGUUCUGUGACGGUUAUCCUUGGUUGUCAACUUGACUCUGCCUCGAAUGAACUACAAUCCAGAAAUGGAAGGCACACCUGUGAUCCGGAUCUCGAGGCAGGUGACACAGGCUUUUGAUCUGGAUCUUGAGGAGCACAUCCGUUCCUUCACCGGCGUUGGAGCCUUUGGGAUGCCACCGUAUACAGAAGACCAGGUGAGACACCCAGCCUCGUGGGACAGAGCAGCUACUGGAUCCUUGGGCUUGUGGUCCUCCUACCUCUGUUCUCUUAAGUGUUAAGAUUACAAGUGUGUACAACCCAGUUCAGGUAGUGCUAGGCAUCAAACCCAAACCCAGGGCCUCACGCUUGCUAAGGGAAUUUCUCCCGGCUGAGCUACAUCCCAACCUGAUUCGAAGUGUUUGGUUUACUUUGUUGACAGGGUCUCACUGUGUAGCACUGGCUGAUCUGAAACUCACAGAGAUUCACCUGCCUCUGCCUCCUGAGUUCUGGGAUUAAAGGCGUAUGCCACCACCGCCCAGCUUCAGUUUGAGGUUUUAAAGACUAAACAUCUCAUAUUGUGCUACAGAUGCGAACAACUGCACUGAACAGUGUGAUGAUCGAAGUCCCUAAGUCUUUGGAGACCUGCACUUACUAGCUUGGUCCUGACUGUUCACUGAAUCUGCACAAAGGGACAAGACAAUAGUGCUGGACUCCUGAAGUCACAGAAUGCCUGUCCAAGUAGACAGACCCCUCACCCCUACCCCAUAAUAUGAGUCACCACCAUGACUGAUCAUCUCAUGAAUGAUGUGAUCAGCAUUAAACCAAAGCAGAAAGUGCCUCGUUUAAGGAACUACUUAUUCUGGGAACAUGGCAGGGGGUGCCUCUGACUCUGUUAACCAGAGCUGCAGUGAGUGAGUUAGAUUCGCUUACUUAUAUGGGGUUUGCCCUUUGGUUCCUAAAUUGGUCCUGCUGUCAGUUCCUGACAGUCUGCUCGGAUCUGGGCCGGAUUACCUGCCCAGGGUCUUCCUCCCACAGGCCAGGGAAGGCAGACAUCCUUUUGGUUUCUGAGUACUCAGACGGAACCCAGGACCUCUGGCACAGUAGGCAAAUUCUCUACCCCAGCACUACAUCCUCAGCCCAUUUCUUCACUUUUCAUUUCGAGAAAGGGUCUCACUAGAUUGACUAUGUUGGCCUUGAACUAGCAAAUCCUCCUGCUUCCGUCUCCGGAUCAACUGGGAUUACAGGCACACACAGCACACACACGGGGCAGAACUGGUUUUUCGCUUACGUGCUCUGCUCAGACCUUUAGCUUUGUGCAGUAGCUACACUGCCUUCUAGCAGCUGCCCCCCACAAAAAAUUAAUUAUUCUAGUUGAGGUAAAAUGUGCUGGCGAAAGGGACGAUGAAUGAGCAUGUUCUCUUUUCAGAGGUUUUGGAUAUAUUCUGGUUCCUCUUACUGUCUCACCCCACACACACACACACACACACCCAAAAAAAAAAUUUGGUUUGGACAUUAGAGAGACUUGGUCACCUCCCUCUUUUUCCAUGGAGAACGCUCCAUGGAUCUAGGGCACAGUUGUCAGCCCUCUGUCGCUCGUUCAGCAGAGGCCUGAACCCAGCUCUGUUCGGGGAUCCUCAGCGCCCGGAGAACCGGUCCCUUCCAAUGUGGCUGGCAAUGCAGACCCCACUUUUGGCUGCCUGUGUGAGCUGUCCACUCCGGCUUGCUCUGGCGUCUCCGCAGAGCCAGAGCAGCGGCCAAUGACCUUGACCUAGGAGGGCGCCCAAGGUCGAUGUAGCUGGUUCUUCGGGGAAGUCCACCUACUCCACCCGAAACGUUCUCU